rnacentral:SRP_RNA from 14 species
UCUGCCCGCCCUCCGCGACACGCGGUGGCUGAACCCAUUGGCCUCCUCGACCAGGGCACCGCCCCCCAUGAGUCCGGCGGACCUCUCGACCGGCCUGAAGGGCAGGUGGAGUGGGCGUUCCCUGGAC